rnacentral:rRNA from 1 species
AGUCAAUAGAUACCCUGGUAGUCCACGCCGUAAACGAUGAUAACUAGCUGUCGGGGCUCUUAGAGCUUCGGUGGCGCAGCUAACGCAUUAAGUUAUCCGCCUGGGGAGUACGGCCGCAAGGUUAAAACUCAAAUGAGUUGACGGGGGCCGUGCACAAGCGGUGGAGCAUGUGGUUUAAUUUCGAAGCAACGCGCAGAACCUUACCAGCGUUUGACAUGUCCGGACGAUUUCGGGUAGACCGAUCUCUUCCCUUCGGGGACGUGGAACACAGGUGCUGCAUGGCUGUCGUCAGCUCGUGUCGUGAGAUGUUGGGUUUAAGUCCCGCAACGAGCGCAACCCUCGUCCUUAGUUGCCAUCAUUUA